GAUCCUGGCUCAGGAUAAACGCUGGCGGCGCACAUAAGACAUGCAAGUCGAACGGACUUAAUCGAAAUAUUUAUAUUUUGAAGCGGUUAGUGGCGGACUGGUGAGUAACGCGUAAGGAACCUGCCUAUUAGAGGGGGAAUAACAGUGAGAAAUCAUUGCUAAUACCGCAUAUGCCAUAGAUAUCACAUGAUAACAGUGGGAAAGGAGCAAUCCGACUAAUAGAUGGCCUUGCGU
rnacentral:rRNA from 1 species